AACGAACGCUGGCGGCAGGCCUAACACAUGCAAGUCGAACGAACCCUUCGGGGUGAGUGGCGCACGGGUGCGUAACGCGUGGGAAUAUACCCUUAGGUGCGGAACAACAGUUGGAAACGACUGCUAAUACCGCAUAAUGACUCCGGUCCAAAGAUUUAUCGCCUAGGGAUUAGCCCGCGUCUGAUUAGUUUGUUGGUGAGGUAACGGCUCACCAAGACGAUGAUCAGUAGGGGGUCUGAGAGGAUGAUCCCCCACACUGGAACUGAGACACGGUCCAG
rnacentral:rRNA from 1 species